CAGCCGCCACGGGAAAACGUAGGGUGCGAGCGUUGUCCGGAAUUACUGGGCGUAAAGAGCUCGUAGGCGGUUUGUCGCGUCGUCUGUGAAAUUCUGCAGCUUAACUGCAGGCGUGCAGGCGAUACGGGCAGACUUGAGUACUACAGGGGAGACUGGAAUUCCUGGUGUAGCGGUGAAAUGCGCAGAUAUCAGGAGGAACACCGGUGGCGAAGGCGGGUCUCUGGGUAGUAACUGACGCUGAGGAGCGAAAGCGUGGGUAGCGAACAGGAUUAGAUACCCCGGUAGUCCCUGUCUCUUAUAC
rnacentral:rRNA from 1 species